GGAAAAAGGGAAGAAAAGGAAAGGAAGGAAAAAGAAGAAAUCUUGUGCCAACUACUUCAGUCUUGUUUAUUUAAUUCUUCAAGAGGAGGCUUUGACUGAGCUGUGGUGGAGAUUAUUUUGAUAGUUUUGCAACCAUUGUUACCACCAAUUGUAGGUUCUUUUGUUUGAAAUUGUGUAAUCAUCAAGUGAAAUAUUUGCAUCAUAUUGGAGGAUUUUUUUUUUUUGUAUUUAUAUGCACCAAUGAUCAUGAUGGAAUAUUGUAAUCUAAACUGCCUUCUAUUAUCCUUUUGAGAGGCAGUUUUGAUGAAAAUGAUAUGGAUGUUUUUGGCUAAACGGACGAAUGAUAUUAUUAUGUUGGUAUAUUGGAGUUCAGAAAGAUUUAAUUGGUCAAAUGAAGCUUUAUUA